rnacentral:rRNA from 1 species
AGCGAACGCUGGCGGCAGGCUUAACACAUGCAAGUCGAACGGAUCCUUCGGGAUUAGUGGCGGACGGGUGAGUAACACGUGGGAACGUGCCCUUAGGUUCGGAACAACACAGGGAAACUUGUGCUAAUACCGGAUGUGCCCCUCACGGGGGAAAGAUUUAUCGCCUUUGGAGCGGCCCGCGUCUGAUUAGCUUGUUGGUGAGGUAAAGGCUCACCAAGGCUACGAUCAGUAGCUGGUCUGAGAGGAUGGCCAGCCACAUUGGGACUGAGACACGGCCCAAACUCCUACGGGAGGCUG